rnacentral:rRNA from 1 species
GGUUAAGUGACUAAGCGUACACGGUGGAUGCCCUGGCAGUCAGAGGCGAUGAAGGGCGUGCUAAUCUGCGAUAAGCGCCGGUAAGGUGAUAUGAACCGUUAUAACCGGCGAUACCCGAAUGGGGAAACCCAGUGUGACU